rnacentral:rRNA from 1 species
CGUCAAAAAAGAAAUGAGAGCUGGGUUUAGAACGUCAUGAGACACAUUGGUAGCUAUGUAU